UUGAACGCUGGCGGCAGGCCUAACACAUGCAAGUCGAGCGCGAAAGUUCUUCGGAAUGAGUAAAGCGGCGGACGGGUGAGUAACGCGUGGGAAUCUGCCUAGUAGUGGGGGACAACAGCCGGAAACGGCUGCUAAUACCGCAUACGCCCUACGGGGGAAAGGGGGGGAUCUUCGGACCUCUCGCUAUUAGAUGAGCCCGCGUCGGAUUAGCUAGUUGGUAGGGUAAAGGCCUACCAAGGCUACGAUCCGUAACUGGUCUGAGAGGAUGAUCAGUCACACUGGAACUGAGACACGGUCCAGACUCCUACGGGAGGCAGCAGUGGUGAAUAUUGGACAAUGGGGGCAGCCCUGAUCCAGCCAUGCCGCGUGUGUGAAGAAGGCCUUAGGGUUGUAAAGCACUUUCAGUGGGGAGAAAGGUUUGUCACCUAAUACGUGAUGAAAUUGAUGUUACCCACAGAAGAAGCACCGGCUAACUCCGUGCCAGCCGCCGCAGUAA
rnacentral:rRNA from 1 species